rnacentral:antisense_RNA from 1 species
AGAAAGGAGGAAGAGGCAGGCACAAGACAAAAUGAAUCUCUCCACUGUGCACAUGGAGCCUUAGCUCUGAUUCCAGUUGAGCAAAAUUAUGAAGAUGAUGAUUCCCCAUAUGGAGGACAGAUACACACCCUGCGGCGAGUCACUCACUUCCCAAAGGCCCUCUGAAGGGUCGCGCAUGUCCUGACUGCACAGCCUGCUCCUGACAAUGUUCUCAAAGCCAGGGUUGUAACAGAAAGUGGAAAAUUAAAGCAGAUCCAUGUGGCCUCAGCAUAACGAAAACAAGGUAGGCCAAAGAGAAAUCAGGAAUAAAUGGAUGUUACUACUGCUAGUACUGCUUCUGCUGCCAAGUUUUUGAGCACAUAACCAGGAUGACAGCCACAGUUCCACAAAGCUCUGAUAAAACAUCAAAAAGAAACUCACCACCAAGGAAAGCAGAGAAUCCUUUCUUGUCUUGAGUGAAUGGCAAUG